GAGAUGUCUCUUUAUUUCUGCUUUUUACAAAAUGAGAUGGCAGAUGGCAUUUUUCAUCAUGAGUCUCUGGGAUUGUCUUGAAACACUGCAAUGCAACGAAUAACUAGAGUCAUCAUGUGGGUGAGAGCCCAGCCUGGUGCCCUGAUUUAUACAGCUAUCCCAGACCCUCAUUGGAUUCCCAGCCCAGAAGAGUGAGACAAGGUUAUCUAUCACAACCUGCAGCUCUCCCUGGGCUCAUUGGAAAGGAGGCAGGCAGGUAGAGAGGAAGGAAAUCCCAGGGGCUUCUGCCCAAAAGGAGACGUCUGUCCAUUUUGUAGGAUGGGUCCCACUUUCUGAGAGAGGAGCUGAGCUAGGGGGCAUACGUCAUUCACUCUGACCAUAGCCAUGAAGAAGAUGGAGAGAGACACUACUUUCAAAACAUCUAAGGAUGCUGCUAUGGCACUGAUGGGAAGAUAAGACUACCUGACCACUAAAGGUAAUGAUGUGUGUGUGUGUGGGUGGGUGGUGGUGGCAAGGAAAUGAGACCUUUCCCAUUU
rnacentral:lncRNA from 1 species